rnacentral:rRNA from 1 species
UGAAGUGGCCAUCACGACUUAUUAAAACCUGAUUUUGCCUGAUCUCAGAGGCUAAGCAGGGCUGGGCCUGGUUAAUACUUGAAUGGGAGACCGCUACGAAUGCCAAGGUAGUACAGUGG